rnacentral:rRNA from 1 species
CAGCCGCCGCGGUAAUACGAAGGGGGCUAGCGUUGUUCGGAAUUACUGGGCGUAAAGCGCACGUAGGCGGACAUUUAAGUCAGGGGUGAAAUCCCGGGGCUCAACCCCGGAACUGCCUUUGAUACUGGGUGUCUAGAGUAUGGAAGAGGUGAGUGGAAUUCCGAGUGUAGAGGUGAAAUUCGUAGAUAUUCGGAGGAACACCAGUGGCGAAGGCGGCUCACUGGUCCAUUACUGACGCUGAGGUGCGAAAUCGUGGGGAGCAAACAGGAUUAGAUACCCCCGUAGUCCCUGUCUCUUAUAC